GAUGAACGCUAGCUACAGGCUUAACACAUGCAAGUCGAGGGGAAACGACAUCGAAAGCUUGCUUUUGAUGGGCGUCGACCGGCGCACGGGUGAGUAACGCGUAUCCAACCUGCCCAUCACUUGGGAAUAACCUUGCGAAAGUAAGACUAAUACCCAAUGAUAUCCCACGAAGGCAUCGGAAUGGGAUUAAAGAUUUAUCGGUGAUGGAUGGGGAUGCGUCUGAUUAGCUUGUUGGCGGGGUAACGGCCCAUCAAGGCAACGAUCAGUAGGGGUUCUGAGAGGAAGGUCCCCCACAUUGGAACUGAGACACGGUCCAAACUCCUACGGGAGGCAGCAGUGAGGAAUAUUGGUCAAUGGGCGAGAGCCUGAACCAGCCAAGUAGCGUGCAGGAAGACGGCCCUAUGGGUUGUAAACUGCUUUUAUAAGGGAAUAAAGUGGGUCACGUGUGACUUUUUGCAUGUACCUUAUGAAUAAGGACCGGCUAAUUCCGUG
rnacentral:rRNA from 1 species